rnacentral:rRNA from 1 species
AUUGAACGCUGGCGGCAGGCCUAACACAUGCAAGUCGAGCGGAUGAGUGGAGCUUGCUCCAUGAUUCAGCGGCGGACGGGUGAGUAAUGCCUAGGAAUCUGCCUGGUAGUGGGGGACAACGUUUCGAAAGGAACGCUAAUAGCGCAUACGUCCUACGGGAGAAAGUGGGGGAUCUUCGGACCUCACGCUAUCAGACGAGCAUAGGUCGGAUUAGCUAGUUGGUGAGGUAAAGGCUCACCAAGGCGACGAUCCGUAACUGGUCUGAGAGGAUGAUCAGUCACACUGGAACUGAGACACGGUCCAGACUCCUACGGGAGGCAGCAGUGGGGAAUAUUGGACAAUGGGCGAAAGCCUGAUCCAGCCAUGCCGCGUGAGUGAAGAAGGUCUUCGGAUUGUAAAGCACUUUAAGUUGGGAGGAAGGGCAGUAAGUUAAUACCUUGCUGUUUUGACGUUACCAACAGAAUAAGCACCGGCUAACUUCGUGCCAGCAGCCGCCGUAACAC